UACGUAGGGUGCAAGCGUUGUCCGGAAUUAUUGGGCGUAAAGAGCUCGUAGGCGGUUUGUUGCGUCGGCUGUGAAAUCCCGAGGCUCAACCUCGGGUCUGCAGUCGAUACGAGCAAAACUAGAGUGUUGCAGGGGAGACUGGAAUUCCUGGUGUAGCGGUGAAAUGCGCAGAUAUCAGGAGGAACACCGGUGGCGAAGGCGGGUCUCUGGGCAACAACUGACGCUGAGGAGCGAAAGCGUGGGGAGCGAACAGG
rnacentral:rRNA from 1 species